CCUACGGGGGGCAGCAGUGAGGAAUAUUGGUCAAUGGGCGCGAGCCUGAACCAGCCAAGUAGCGUGAAGGAUGACUGCCCUACGGGUUGUAAACUUCUUUUAUAAAGGAAUAAAUUGAGGCAUGUGUGCCUUUUUGUAUGUACUUUAUGAAUAAGGAUCGGCUAACUCCGUGCCAGCAGCCGCGGUAAUACGGAGGAUCCGAGCGUUAUCCGGAUUUAUUGGGUGUAAAGGGAGCGUAGAUGGGUUGUUAAGUCAGUUGUGAAAGUUUGCGGCUCAACCGUAAAAUUGCAAUUGAUACUGGUAGCCUUGAGUGGAGUAGAGGUAGGCGGAAUUCGUGGUGUAGCGGUGAAAUGCUUAGAUAUCACGAAGAACUCCGAUUGCGAAGGCAGCCUACUAGACUGCCACUGACAUUGAUGCUCGAAAGUGUGGGUAUCAAACAGGAUUAGAUACCCGGGUAGUC
rnacentral:rRNA from 1 species